AUUGAAACAUGGAUAUAAGUGAUACUAGU
rnacentral:misc_RNA from 1 species